AAGGAGGCGUGCAUGUGGGAAGCCUCUUUUUCCGGGCUUCGGAGGCGCAGGAGCUGAGUGGCGGCGGUGGGAGAAAACCGGAGGGCUGAGCCAUGCCUAAAGGGGGAAAGCAACACCACGCCCAGGAGGAAUGGAUCGGGGACGGGGAGGAGAAGACAUGCCCCGUGCAAGGAGCUGGAGACAAAUUAGUAAAGAAGGGAAAAAAGGAUAAAAAGACGAAAAAAUCGUUCUUCGAGGAACUGGCUGUGGAAGAGAAACACUCCAGCGAGAAUCAGACCGCAGAGAAAGAAAAGAAGGAACAGCAACAG